ensembl:lncRNA LOC102549789 uncharacterized LOC102549789
AGCUCCUCAGUGUCUUAAGAUUCUUUUAAUAGCUCCGGGUUAUCUGCAAGAUAAAUUCAUACUUGUCUUUGUUUUAUUUGGAUCUUAACACAUUUUGGAAGUAUCUUUCUUGGAUUUUGGAAGAGUAGUUGUGAAACUCACAUUAGUUAAGAAUUCUGGAAGCUUCUGUUCCACAGUUGGAUUUGCUGUCUUCUUUCCUGGUGGUAUUAGUCCCACAGAAGCAGCAAGAAGCCUUUCUCUCUAUGAAGUAAUGACAGAUGACGACCAGCAAAGAAUGGUAAGGCAUACCAACAGCAUGCAGUGUCACUAGCAAAGACCAGUAUCAGCAAAGCAAAGACCAGCAAAGCAUGGAGGGCAUGUGCUCAUCUUCAUAUGGGUUUGUGGACGUGAACAUGAUGGCUUUAGAGACCACAACAAGGCAACAGAAUCUCAGAUCAUGACAUUUGUGAGCCACCGGAGUUCAGUGCUGGGAAUCAAGGACCCCAGACCUUGAAAGAAUAAUAUGCUUUCUUCAUAACUAAGCCAUUUCUCUAGUCCUUUCCUAACACUGUAAUGCUGCAAUGGAGUUUAAUAAAAAU